GAUGAACGCUGGCGGCGUGCCUAAUACAUGCAAGUCGAGCGAACAGAUGAGGAGCUUGCUCCUCUGACGUUAGCGGCGGACGGGUGAGUAACACGUGGAUAACCUACCUAUAAGACUGGGAUAACUUCGGGAAACCGGAGCUAAUACCGGAUAAUAUAUUGAACCGCAUGGUUCAAUAGUGAAAGACGGUUUUGCUGUCACUUAUAGAUGGAUCCGCGCCGCAUUAGCUAGUUGGUAAGGUAACGGCUUACCAAGGCAACGAUGCGUAGCCGACCUGAGAGGGUGGGCGGCAACACGGGAACGUAAACGGGGCCAAGCCUCAGCGGGAAGGAGGCAGAGGGGAUCCUCCCGCAGGGGGCAAAAGCCUGACGGAGCAGGCCGGCGGGAGUGAGAAAGGUGUUGGGACCGAAAAACUGUUUUAUGAGAGAAAAAAAAAUGGUAAAUUAACUAUGCACGUUUUGACGGUACCUAAUAAAAAGGCCAGGGCUAACUAGGUG
rnacentral:rRNA from 1 species